AAAAGUGAAAGAUGGCAUGCCAAUAUCUUCUUCUUGUUGUUGCACUUGUUUUCAUGGUUGUUGUUGGGGCAUUUGCAGUCGAAUCGUCACCUUCACCAGUCCCUUCCAAGGCAUCUUCACCUUUAAAGUCGCCAUCUGCUUCUUCUCUAGUUUCUUCCUCCAAGUCCCGUUCUAUAAAGUCACAGUCACAAUCCUCCAAUGGCUCCUCUUUGUCACCAUCAAAGUCUGAAGAAGGAGCACCCAAGUCAUCUCAUUCUGGAGCCCCAAAGAGCUCUUCUAGCUCAUCUUCCCCUAGCCCCAGUCAAAGUGACAACCCUAAUGCCAACAAAGGAUAAUCUUUUGAGGUUGAGUCUUCUGAGGAGGUCUCAUCACCUCCUUCACCAACUGCCAAUGAUGAAGUUUCUGACUCCCCUUCUCCUAGCCCUAAAAGCAUGGUGAUGUUGUUGAUAGUGAGACCCUUGCACUAUCGCCAACACCCUCUAAUGCCAUUGAUAAAGUCCAUCACUUGCAUUGUCGGUGUUGUAACUAUUUUCAGAUUCUU
rnacentral:lncRNA from 1 species